UCCACCACCUCAGCCUCCCAAAGUGCAUCAGAGAUUUUUAUCUUCACUGGGAACCGCUCUUCUUGCAUCCUAUGGCAUUCUGGUGGGACUAUCAAUCUCAGUGCUUCCUGUACAACCUGGCUACAGGGCUAUUUCAAUUCUGCCCACAGGGAUUGGGCCAAAGGAUAGACAUGUGACUCAGGCAGGACCAAUCAGAUUUCUCCCAUAUUGAGUUGCCGGGUAAAAUACAGCCCACCCAAUUAACUGAAUUUUAGAUAAACCACAAUAUUAAGUGAAGCUGCUUGUGGCCAACUUUGCUGGAUAUAUCCAUUUACAGUUGGAGAGAAUGAGGGUGAUCUAUAAAAGGAGCUGAGAUAUCAACUGACGUUUAUCUACAAGGAUUUUUAUCAGGGUUGUUUGAAACCAGGGGUCAGCAAAAUUGUUUCGUGACCAGUCAAGUAUUGCCGUGACCCUCAGGUUGAAGGUCACAUAACCUGAGCAUGCCCAGAUGAACCAAGUGUGCAGCCAGAGGGGGAACCUAAGGGCUUGGACUGACGAUCGGGGGACUGAAUUAAGAAGUGGACAUGGCAGGACCCAGGAUCCAAUCAGGUCAAUCCCUAGCAUCAUCUCAUGGAAGGAUCCAAUCAGAUCAUGCCUCCCAGCAUCACUUCAUUGCAAGAUCCAAUCAGAUCAUGCCUCAUUACUUCAUGCCUAUAAAACCUGACCCAGCCCUCUGUUUAGGAGGCACUGUUUUAGGAAUUAUCCCCUGUGGUCCCCUUACUUGCUGCAAGUAAUAAAAUCCCCUUGUUAAGUC